GAAAGUACUGGAGCAGAGUACUGUUGCUAGGUAGAAGUAGAGCUGGGUCUCUGGAAGGUUAAUUAUAAUAGCCACAACCCACCAAUGAGAGAGUCACGCUGAGGGUUAAUUAUAAUAGCCACAACCAAUGAGAGAGUCACUUCCUCGAAAGUACUGGAGCAGAGUACUGUUGCUAGGUAGAAGUAGAGCUGGGUCUCUGGAAGGUUAAUUAUAAUAGCUACAACCCACCAUUGAGAGAGUCACUUCCUUGAAAGUACUGGAGCAGAGUACUGUUGCUAGGUAGAAGUAGAGCUGGGUCUCUGGAAGGUUAAUUAUAAUAGCUACAACCCACCAAUGAGAGAGUCACUUCCUCGAAAGUACUGGAGCAGAGUACUGUUGCUAGGUAGAAGUAGAGCUGGGUCUCUGGAAGGUUAAUUAUAAUAGCCACAACCCACCAAUGAGAGAGUCACUUCCUUGAAAUUGUUUAACAAAUAUUUUUCAACCGUCAGUAAAAUAAAAUUGUGUUUUGUUUUUUUUUCAGGCUGAAGAAGCUUUCACCUCACACAUAAUAAGAUAACUUUCAUAUCUGUUAUAACCAAUGGUUUAUAUAUACACUAGAUGACUGACAGGGGGCGCUGUGUUGAAGCCACCGUGCCUCCAUCUUGGCUCUUCCCCCCUCCAUUGUAUAAAACAAUGUUUUGGAAGCUAAAGAAAUGUAUUUAUUAAUUGGUUUUAACAACAUGUAUUCCAUUACAGACACCUUAAUACUUUUACAUUAUAUAAUGUGAGCUAAACGUACAAAUAAAAGAAUAUAUAACAUUUUCCUUUUUAGAUUAAUGUUACUGUCCCCACUAAAACAAAACAAAAUACUUAAAUACAUGUAAUGUUGUCCUUGAAACAUUUGAUUGAAACACUGUCCAUUCAUUCCUAUGGAGGCCUGCUCCUAAUGGAGAGAGCCAAAAUGGCCGACCGGUGGCUUCAAAGCAUCUCAAUGGCCAAUACAUAACAUCAGUAAUCCAUCCCCUACUGGGGAGAGCCAAAAUGGCCGACCGGUGGCUUCAAAGCCUCUCAAUGGCCAAUACAUAACAUCAGUAAUCCAUCCCCUACUGGGGAGAGCCAAAAUGGCCGACCGGUGGCUUCAAAGCCUCUCAAUGGCCAAUACAUAACAUCAGUAAUCCAUCCCCUACUGGGGAGAGCCAAAAUGGCCGACACAUAACAUCAGCAAUCCAGGGUUUAUAUACGUUGGUUAUUACUCAUUGUGCCUUUUUGAAAAGGAAAAGCUGUUUUUCCCCUUUUCUAAUCGUCUGCAUCUCUCCACCUCUUCUAGACUUUAAAAAAGCUAAAACAACAGAUUUCAGAUGGUCUCUCUUGACCUUGCCAGGAGAGAUACUAGACGAGUAGGGCUUCAUACUACUGUGGUAGACUUACACGUCUUGUUCAAUUGCCUACCAAAGACAGCACUCAGGCUCUUGAGAACUCUUGUUCCUGGUAACCCUUGACGAAGUCUGUUUGAUCAUCCACAAGACUCCACCUGGUGCAGCAUGUCAAAAUAAAACACAGGAAUAUAUACAGACUACUUUUUUGUUGUUGUUGUCUAAUACCCUUUACAAAUGCUACGCAAAUAACAGAAGGCCAGAGUCUCCUGGUGUUAACCAGACUGGUUACAUAAAUGUACUGCAAUGCUCAAGAGUGUAUGUACGGGGAUAUCAUCAGUGCCCCUCUAUUCCUGUCUGUGUCCCAAAUGACAGUCUGUUCCCCCGACACAGUGCACAGGUAGUAUACUAUCUAGAGAGUAGUGUGCCAUCAGGACCGCAUGGCGUCUGUUCCCCGACACAGUACACAGGUAGUGUACUAUCUAGAGAGUAGUGUGCCAUCAGGACCGCAUGGCGUCUGUUCCCCGACACAGUACACAGGUAGUGUACUAUCUAGAGAGUAGUGUGCCAUCAGGACCGCAUGGCGUCUGUUCCCCGACACAGUACACAGGUAGUAUACUAUCUAGAGAGUAGUGUGCCAUCAGGGCCGCGUGGCGUCUGUUCCAUGUCUCCUGCCGGUCUGUGAAGACAUGUGGCUGAAUGAUGACAUCUCUGGACUGAUUUAAAUGCUGCUGCCUCUCCUCCCCUCACACACAUUGUCUGUGUUUAUUCCCUCAUUCUCUGCACUGUCCAUUUCCUGUUGGUUUAAUUCUCUGCCCUGUCCAUUUCCUGUUGGUUUAAUUCUCUGCCCUGUCCAUUUCCUGUUGGUUUAAUUCUCUGCCCUGUCCAUUUCCUGUUGGUUUAAUUCUCUGCCCUGUCCAUUUCCUGUUGGUUUAAUUCUCUGCCCUGUCCAUUUCCUGUUGGUUUAAUUCUCUGCCCUGUCCAUUUCCUGUUGGUUUAAUUCUCUGCCCUGUCCAUUUCCUGUUGGUUUAAUUCUCUGCCCUGUCCAUUUCCUGUUGGUUUAAUUCUCUGCCCUGUCCAUUUCCUGUUGGUUUAAUUCUCUGCCCUGUCCACUUCCUGUUGGUUUAAUUCUCUGCCCUGUCCAUUUCCUGUUGGUUUCAUUCUCUGCCCUGUCCACUUCCUGUUGGUUUAAUUCUCUGCCCUGUCCAUUUCCUGUUGGUUUAAUUCUCUGCCCUGUCCACUUCCUGUUGGUUUAAUUCUCUGCCCUGUCCAUUUCCUGUUGGUUUAAUUCUCUGCCCUGACCAUUUCCUUUCCUAUACUUUAAACACUAGUGCCAGUUAGAUUUUCUAAUUUGUGCAGAAUGACAUUAUCCUGUCCCCAGAUCUGUGUUUGAUGUGGUAAUGACCAAAGGAGAUGGACAGAGGACACACACACAGAUCUGGGACCAGGCUAGAAUGACAUUUAAAGGUAUCUGUAUAUUAGUUUGCUAAUUUCCUUUUACAAUGUGUGUAAAAAUGCAUAUCUAAAAAAAUAAAUAUCUCUUAAACUUUU